rnacentral:rRNA from 1 species
AGAACGAACGCUGGCGGCAUGCCUAAUACAUGCAAGUCGAACGAACACUUCGGUGUUAGUGGCGCACGGGUGCGUAACGCGUGGGAAUCUGCCCUUGGGUUCGGAAUAACAGUUGGAAACGACUGCUAAUACCGGAUGAUAUCGAAAGACCAAAGAUUUAUCGCCCAGGGAUGAGCCCGCGUAGGAUUAGCUAGUUGGUGAGGUAAAGGCUCACCAAGGCGACGAUCCUUAGCUGGUCUGAGAGGAUGAUCAGCCACACUGGGACUGAGACACCGGCCCAGACUCCGUACGGGAGGCAG